AGUAGGUCAGACCUGCUUUUUAUAGAGUCUCGUGGCAUUUCCUUCUCCACGCUUGUCAGAGCCACAAAUUAACAUUUGAGGAUCAUCUACCUCCCCCAGUAGAAUGUAAAUUCCACAAGGGGGGUUUGCUUUAAGGAAAGAUUUUUCUCUCAGAUGAGAAGAGAUAUAAGAAAUCUUCCUCCCUCCCUGCCUUAAUACGGUGCCAUAUGAGGCCAUGAUUAUUACUACAUCACUUGGAGCUGAGGCAGCCAUUUUGAGAUCCUGAGGGAAGAUGUCAUCAGCCUACUGCUCCACUGCCAGAGGAGAAAGCUGGAAAUACUGGAGUUAUUGGUGACGUCAGCCCUACUCUGACUUCUAACAGGGUAAUGAAUAUCUGCAUUGUUUAAGCCAUGACUACACAUGGAUUCCAUUAUUGGCAGCCAAACACAAUUCUAGUAAAAGAGUAGGAAGGAAGGCCAGGCAUGUUGGCAUCUGCCUGUAAUCCCAGACAUCCUGUCUCACAAAAAAAAAAAAAAAAAAAGGGGGUGGGGGAGGGGAGUAUAAGAUUUUCCUUCACUACUGUGUGAGCAUGCAAU
rnacentral:lncRNA from 1 species